rnacentral:rRNA from 1 species
AGUGAACGCUGGCGGUAGGCCUAACACAUGCAAGUCGAACGGCAGCACAGUAAGAGCUUGCUCUUACGGGUGGCGAGUGGCGGACGGGUGAGGAAUACAUCGGAAUCUACUUUUUCGUGGGGGAUAACGUAGGGAAACUUACGCUAAUACCGCAUACGACCUACGGGUGAAAGCAGGGGAUCUUCGGACCUUGCGCGAUUGAAUGAGCCGAUGUCGGAUUAGCUAGUUGGCGGGGUAAAGGCCCACCAAGGCGACGAUCCGUAGCUGGUCUGAGAGGAUGGUCAGCCACACUGGAACGGAGACACGGUCCAGACUCCUACGGGAGGCAGCAGUGGGGAAUAUUGGACAAUGGGCGCAAGCCUGAUACAGCCAUACCGCGUGUGUGAAGAAGGCCUUCGGGUUGUAAAGCCCUUUUGUUGGGAAAGAAAAGCAGCAGGUUAAUACCCCGCUGUUCUGACGGAACCCAAAGAAUAAGCACCGGCUAACUUCGUG